rnacentral:tRNA from 6 species
GGGGCAUUAGCUCAGCUGGGAGAGCGCUUGCAUGGCAUGCAAGAGGUCAGCGGUUCGAACCCGCUAUGCUCCA